rnacentral:tRNA from 1 species
CGGGUAUAGUUCAACGGUAGAACCUCAGCCUUCCAAGCUGAUGAUGCGGGUUCGAUCCCCGCUACCC